GCGUUUUCUGGAGCAGAAGCAGAUACGAGAAUCUGACUGAUAACUAGGUGUAUUUUUUUUUUCUAAAUUGCGCCCUUACUUAAUCUUCAUUGUUCCUUUGUCCCGUCAUUAGCAUAUUUUAACAUAUUUUUACUUCCGGCCGCCACCGAUCGACUCACUGUUUGAACACUAGUAGUUCCCCAGCCUACUGUGGCCAGGAGCUCAUCUAUGUAUGUUAUACUUAUAUUGUCAUAUGACCAUUCUUGGAGAUAGGGCCCGACAGGGCUAAAACACCAAACUAAAGCUUCUAAGCCCAACAGUACAUAUGUCAAAUCCAACAGGCACCCGUCUAGAGUUGAACCUUAUUUCACAUACGUACCAUAUAUUGUAGCUGUUGUCAAAAUCCUGUUCAUCCUGUUCAUUGAAUCUACUCCCAAGCAACCCACAGAAGGAUGAUAUAUGCAUGGGGGAUAUAUACAUGCAUCACUUAGUACAAUGCAGUAGUUAUAUCUAGUUUUAGAUUGUGGCAUAAAGACGGGUUUCACUUA
rnacentral:lncRNA from 1 species